rnacentral:tRNA from 1 species
GCGGUCCACGGCCAGCAGGUACUGGGUCAGGUCGUUGGAACCGACCGACAGGAAGUCCACCUGGCGGGCCAGGUCGCGGGUCUGGUAGACCGCC